GUGUGAUUGGUGCUCAGUGAUUCUGGAGGGACGUGGUGACUGUUGACAACACAACUUCUCUGACCCAAGACUCUACACUCUUCAGAGUAGGGGUGAAGGCACAUCAGCGACCAGACAAGGAGUCAUGAAGAGACAGCGGGGAGCCCUGCUGGGGCUUCUGUGGGUGCAGGUUUGCUGGGUGAGAGGGAUGGACGUGGAGCAGACACCUGCAGCCCUGAGCCUCCAGGAGGGAGCCAGCUCUACCCUGAGGUGCAAUUUUUCCAGCUCGGUGACCUACGUGCAGUGGUUCCGACAGAACCCCGGGGGCGGCGGCCUCACCCGACUGUUUUACAUAGUUUCAGGGAUGAAGCAGGAUGGGAGGUUGAACUGCACGGUGAACACUAAGGACCGGCACAGCAGCCUGCACAUCAUGGCCUCCCAGCAGGAAGACUCAGCCACCUAUCUGUGUGCUGUGGAGGCACAGUGCUCCCUGCUGCUCUGCAGCCUGUCCCCAAACUGCAACUGGGCUCGUGGCCCCAGCUCUUCAUGGGGCAGGCACUUAUUUGCCCACACAGGAGUUUUUGCACAUUUUCAUACUUAUGUUACAGUACUUUUUUCUCUCCUAAAAGUAACCCAUCAGGGCUGUCAUUUCACUUUUGCUUUUCUUGCCCUUUUUCUUCCCAGAAAGCCCUUUCCAGGUAAAAAGCUCUACCAUGGAACCAUUGGAGUAGUUGACGGAGAUGCCAAUAUCCAAUGCCCAGUUGAAACAUAUCUCCUGGCAGCUAGCAUAUAAAUUAUAUGUAAAUUACUCAGAGGGAAAAGGCUUGAAAACAUAUAUGGUCAUCAACCA